GUACUCCCAUAGUAUUGUGGGUAGGCAUCUAUCUGCAAUUAAAGUUUCGACGGUAUAUGAUUGGUGUGCGUUCCAUUAGCUAGUUGGUAGGGUAACGGCCUACCAAGGCGACGAUGGGUAGCUGGCGUGAGAGCGCGACCAGCCACACUGGAACUGAGACACGGUCCAGACUCCUACGGGAGGCAGCAGUAGGGAAUAUUGGACAAUGGGCGAAAGCCUGAUCCAGCCAUGCCGCGUGAUAGAUGAAGGCCCUCUGGGUUGUAAAUAUCUUUUAUCUGGGAAGAAACUCCUCUAUUCUUAGAGGCCUGACGGUACCAGAGGAAUAAGCACCGGCUAACUCCGUG
rnacentral:rRNA from 1 species